rnacentral:rRNA from 1 species
UACGUAGGUGGCAAGCGUUGUCCGGAUUUAUUGGGCGUAAAGAGCGCGCAGGCGGUUCGUUAAGUGCGAGGUGAAAUCUCCCGGCUCAACUGGGAGGGGUCUUCGCAUACUGGCGGGCUUGAGGAGAGCAGAGGUGAGCGGAAUUCUCGGUGUAGUGGUGAAAUGCGUAGAUAUCGAGAGGAACACCGGUGGCGAAGGCGGCUCACUGGGCUCCACCUGACGCUGAGGCGCGAAAGCGUGGGGAGCGAACAGG